GACGAACGCUGGCGGCGUGCUUAACACAUGCAAGUCGCACGGCAAGGCCCUGCUUUUGUGGGGUGCUCGAGUGGCGAACGGGUGAGUAACACGUAAGUAACCUGACCUUGCCUUUGAGCUCACUUCAGGACACUGGGGCUCAUACCGGAUAGGUGCUUCUGCUGCAUGGUGGGGGUUGGAAAGUUUCGGCGGUUGGCGAUGGACUCGCGGCUUAUCAGCUUGUUGGUGGGGUAGUGGCUUACCAAGGCUUUGACGGGUCGCCGGCCUGAGAGGGUGACAGGCCACAUUGGGACUGAGAUACGGCCGAGACUCCUACGGGAGGCAGCAGAAGGGAAUAUUGCACAAUGGGCGGAAGCCGGAUGCAGCAACGCCGCGUGCGGGAUUGUGGCCUUCGUGUUGGAAACCGCAUUCUCGUGUGACGAAGCGUGAGUGAAGGUAAUGGGUAAAUAAGCACCGGCUAACUACGUG
rnacentral:rRNA from 1 species